UACGUAGGUGGCAAGCGUUGUCCGGAAUCACUGGGCGUAAAGCGCGCGCAGGCGGCGAUCUACGUCGUGGGGUGAAAGCCCCGGAGCUCAACUCCGGGACUGCCUUGGAUACGGGAUCGCUUGAGGAUUGGAGAGGCAAGGGGAAUUCCACGUGUAGCGGUGAAAUGCGUAGAGAUGUGGAGGAACACCUGUGGCGAAGGCGCCUUGCUGGCCAAUUACUGACGCUGAGGCGCGAAAGCGUGGGGAGCAAACAGG
rnacentral:rRNA from 1 species